rnacentral:rRNA from 1 species
UGGGGAAUCUUGCACAAUGGGGGCAACCCUGAUGCAGCGACGCCGCGUGAGCGAUGAAGCCCUUCGGGGCGUAAAGCUCUUUCGACCGGAACGAUAAUGACGGUACCGGGAGAAGAAGCUGCGGCUAACUACGUGCCAGCAGCCGCGGUAAUACGUAGGCAGCAAGCGUUGUUCGGAGUUACUGGGCGUAAAGAGUGCGUAGGCGGUUUUCUAAGUUCGGUGUGAAAUCUCCCGGCUUAACUGGGAGGGUGGGCCGAAGACUGGGAAGCUGGAGUGUGGGAAAGGCAGGCGGAAUUCCUGGUGUAGCGGUGAAAUGCGUAGAGACCGGGAGGAACAUCUGUGGCGAAGGCGACUGCCUGGACCAGCACUGACACUGAGGCACGAAAGCGUGGGGAGCAAACA